rnacentral:rRNA from 1 species
AUUGAACGCUGGCGGCAUGCCUAACACAUGCAAGUCGCACGAGUGGCGGACGGGUGAGUAAUGUCUGGGAAACUGCCUGAUGGAGGGGGAUAACUACUGGAAACGGUAGCUAAUACCGCAUACCCUCGGAUGUGCCCAGAUGGGAUUAGCUAGUAGGUGGGUUAACGGCUCACCUAGGCGACGAUCCCUAGCUGGUCUGAGAUGAUGACCAGCCACACUGGAACUGAGACACGUUCCAGACUCCUACGGGAGGCAGCAGUGGGUAAUAUUGCACAAUGGGCGCAAGCCUGAUGCAGCCAUGCCGCGUGUAUGAAGAAGGCCUUCGGGUUGUAAAGUACUUUCAGCGGGGAGGCGUUACUCGCAGAAGAAGCACCGGCUAAAUACGUGAAAGCCGCCGCGGUAAUAC